GAUGAGUAAAGAUUCCUUAAUAUUUGAAUAUAUUUUCCCUUCCAAGACACUACCUUCUUCUACAGAACUGCAGGAUUCCUUUAUCAAUUUAUAUUUUUAUUCAUUUACAACAUAAAAAUAUCAAAAUAAAAAGCAAAUAGUAAGGAACAACUAUAGGGAAAGAGGAAAAGGGGAAAUGUGGAAAGGGGGGGAGAAACAAAAGGUGUUGACUUCCGAUUCCCUGUUGCAGUAAAAUAAGGCAUGAAAAUCGAAUCUCAACUUUUUGCAUUUCUGUAUUAGUAUGAACUAGCCUUUUCUCUAUCAACAAAUCAGUCUAAUCAGUAAACCCCAAAAUCAUAGUAUCAUUUUUUCCACCUCAAGCACAAAGGCCAGAAGCAGUUUCCAAGCAGAAACAAUAGUACUUAUAUUCCUUUCUUUUAUCAAAACUGUCAGUUUAGCCAAAUUCACUCAGUCAGCUUUCAGGCCCAAGGUGGGACUAGAACUCAGUACCCAGAGUUGUUGUGUUUUGCUCUAAUCACUAGACCAAACUGUUUCUCCAUUUUGCCUCCUUAUUCAAACAAACAUAUUUGGCUGAGAAUUGGGUAAACCAAUACUAAAGUGAAGCGUACUCAAAAAAAAUAAGCUACAGUAACAAAACCCCCAAUAAAGUUAUUUAAAGAAUUGUGGAUCAAAAGAAAAAUCAAUGGCAUAUUUAUCUUUAUCAAGAUCUAAGCUGUGCUUAUGUUAAGUCAUCAGACAAAGUCAUUCUUAUUCUAAGUUGUAUUUAAAUGGUAUUCAAGAUGGUAUUUAACUUGAGAAAAAAUAAUCUUAAGAAUUUUUUUUCUGCUUCUUUCCAAGAUCUUAGUGAAAAGCUUAAAUCUGAUUUUAUACUAUUUCUGCCCAAGCAACUACAUUAGCUGGAAGACAUCAGUGGCAAAGUAAUCACUACAAUAAAUAAAUAAACUGAAAGGGAAGAAUGAGACUGUGUGAAAUUAUAGAAUUAUAGCACAAAUUAUAGCAAAUUAUAGCACAAAUUAUAGCAAAUUAUAGCACAAAGUCCAGAAGCAGUAUCCAAGUACAAACAAAAGUACUUAUAUUCUUUUCUUUUAUCAAAACUGUCAGUUUAGCCAUCUCUGCUAACUCCAUCAGCUUUUGUAACCGUUCAUCCAAGAUGGGAAUGGAAACAUCCUUCCAACAAUUGCAGGAUUCCUAGGACCACAGCAACUUUUCUCUGACCACACAGAUCCAUCUCUGCUGAUCUCCUGCAGCAGCUCAAAUAAAUCAGCCAUUAACCCAGGUUUGAGGUCUGACUCAAAGAUGAAAUAGCUGAGUCUCAACAUCUUUUUUACAUCGUGGUGACCAAAACUGGAGGCAGAAGUCCAAGUGUGGCCUUACCACUCCUUAUUAGGAGUCCUGUGGGACACAGAAGACUAACUGAAAUUGAGAAGGAGAACUGGGUUCCAAAAGCUUCUCUGCCUCAGUCUAAAUGUGUGGAAAAAUGCCAUCCUGGAUUUGUCAAGCAGGCUCG